rnacentral:rRNA from 1 species
GAUGAACGCUAGCGGCAGGCUUAAUACAUGCAAGUCGUGGGGCAGCAGGUUUGUAGCAAUACAGAUGCUGGCGACCGGCAAACGGGUGCGGAACACGUACAGAACCUUCCUUUGAGCGGGGAAUAGCCCAGAGAAAUUUGGAUUAAUACCCCAUAGUAUAAUGAAGUGGCAUCACUUUAUUAUUAAAGAUUUAUCACUCGAAGAUGGCUGUGCGGCUGAUUAGGUAGUUGGCGGGGUAAAGGCCCACCAAGCCUGCGAUCAGUAACUGGUGUGAGAGCACGACCAGUCACACGGGCACUGAGACACGGGCCCGACUCCUACGGGAGGCAGCAGUAAGGAAUAUUGGUCAAUGGAGGCAACUCUGAACCAGCCAUGCCGCGUGGAGGAUGAAGGUCCUCUGGGUUGUAAACUUCUUUUAUAUGGGACGAAAAAAGGCUUAAUCU